rnacentral:misc_RNA from 1 species
AAGUCGUAACAAGGUUUCCGUAGGUGAACCUGCGGAAGGAUCAUUAUGAAUCGGAUGGAAGAUAGUGUAUAUGUUGCCACGAAGUGGGAGAGGAGCGAGUGGUGUUGUGGAGCGUGGAGCGUGUACGACGUGUACGCACCACUGCAUUCACCAACCACACCUCCUCACAUCCUUAAAAUAUUGCAUCAUAGUCAGUGAUAUAUGAAUCAAGUAAAAAAUCACAACUUUUAACAAUGGAUCUCUUGGCUCUU